UACGUAGGGGGCGAGCGUUGUUCGGAAUUACUGGGCGUAAAGGGCGUGUAGGCGGUGCGGUAAGUCGAGUGUGAAAUCCCCAGGCUCAACCUGGGGCGGUCGCUCGAGACUGCCGUGCUCGAGUGUGGGAGAGGGAAGUGGAAUUCCCGGUGUAGCGGUGAAAUGCGUAGAUAUCAGGAGGAACACCUGCGGCGAAGGCGGCUUCCUAGACCACAACUGACGCUGAGGCGCGAAAGCUAGGGGAGCAAACAG
rnacentral:rRNA from 1 species